UUCCGGUUGAUCCUGCCGGAGGCCACUGCUAUUGGGAUCCGACUAAGCCAUGCGAGUCGAGAGGGUUCGGCCCUCGGCAGACUGCUCAGUAACACGUGGAUAACCUAACCUUAGGUGGAAGAUAACCUCGGGAAACUGAGAAUAAUAUUCCAUAGAUCUAGGAUGCUGGAAUGCAUCUAGAUUGAAAGUUCCGACGCCUAAGGAUGGGUCUGCGGACUAUCAGGUUGUAGUCAGGGUAAAGACCUGACUAGCCUACGACGGAUAUGGGUUGUGAGAGCAAUAGCCCAGAGACGAUAUCUGAGACACGAUAUCGGGCCCUACGGGGCGCAGCAGGCGCGAAAUCUUCACAAUGUGCGAAAGCACGAUGAGGGGAUCCCAAGUGCUGGCACGUAAGUGUCAGCUGUUUCUUAGUCUAAAAAACUGAGAGAGUAAGGGCUGGGUAAGACGGGUGCCAGCCGCCGCGGUAAUACCUGCAGCUCAAGUGGUGGCCGCUAUUAUUGGGCCUAAAACGUCCGUAGCCUGUUUAGUAAAUGCUUGGGUAAAUUGUGUAGCUUAACUAUACGAAUACCGGGUAGACUGCUAAACUUGGGACCGGGAGAGGCUAGAGGUACUCCUGGGGUAGAGGUGAAAUUCUGUAAUCCUAGGGGGACCACCAGUGGCGAAGGCGUCUAGCUAGAACGGGUCUGACGGUGAGGGACGAAGCCCUGGGGCGCAAACCGGAUUAGAUACCCGGGUAGUCCAGGGUGUAAACGCUGCUUGCUUGAUGUUAGUUGGGCUCCGAGCCCAACUAGUGUCGGAGAGAAGUUGUUAAGCAAGCUGCCUGGGAAGUACGGUCGCAAGACUAAAACUUAAAGGAAUUGGCGGGGGAGCACAGCAACGGGUGGAGCGUGCGGUUUAUUGGAGUCAACGCCGGA
rnacentral:rRNA from 1 species